GAAGAAGAAGAACGCCAAAUGACGUACGGCUGUGCGGGAAACAUGAACACGGUGCAGUAUGGGCUCAUCUCUUGUUUCUGUUUCUGAGCAGCUUUUAAAAGACCUACAGAGAACUUACUCGGAGAGAAAGCAGAUACCAGAUGACCUACUAAUAGCAUUACGGUUUGUAUUCGGCCCAUCUGCUCUUCAGGCAUUGGACCUGGUGGACCAGCGUACUGUCACAUGUGUGUCAUCGCCUAGUGGUCGAAAGGCUUUUCAGGUAUUGGGUGGAUCGGGUCGUCUGUACACGUGCUUCACGUCCUGUCACUACUGCCCGUGCCCUGCCUUCUCUUACACUGUGCUCAGGAGAAACGAAAGUCUGAUGUGUAAACACCUUCUGGCAGUCGUCCUGAGUCAGGCCAUGGGUUUGUGUCAGCAGGAGCAGGUCUCUGAUCAGCAGAUGACACACAUUCUCUCAAGGCAAACCGAAGCCAGCACAUAAAUAACUGAUUCUGGAGUGUCGAGGGACUCUUAUGUGAACAUGCAUGCUGGAAUACAGCUGACAGCAAAAGUGAGGGAAGUCCUGAGAGCCUUGCCCAGACAAUGAGAGGAAAACACCAGCUAAGCAGCUUCAUUGGGUGCGUCAGGCUGUCUUUUGUCUGUUGACUGUGAAAGCUUUUUAACACUGCCACUUUAACAUUUCAUGACAGGAGACAAAUGCUUUCUGUAAUGGACAAAUAAUGACAAAAGUAUGUUCAUCUAUCUAUGGAUCUGCAAAGUUUUAAAUGAUUGUUUGCUCAUGUCAUAGUGAUUACAUUUUGCAAACAUGACUGAUACAGAAUCUCUUUAUAUGAUCAAGCAGCACAAACACAUUUAACUUUAGCAAGUGUUGAGAUACAACACCCAUAGACUAACAGGAUAGAGAAGUAAUUCAAAUAUGACACACCUCAGCUGACAAACAUACAGUGUGUACUAGUGUGCAAUACAGCGAGAGUGUGUAUAUUAGAGUGAAUAAAACUCAUAUCAACAGCAGAAAGAGAAAUGU